rnacentral:rRNA from 1 species
AGCGAACGCUGGCGGCAGGCUUAACACAUGCAAGUCGAGCGCCCCGCAAGGGGAGCGGCAGACGGGUGAGUAACACGUGGGAACGUGCCUUUUGGUUCGGAACAACCCAGGGAAACUUGGGCUAAUACCGGAUAAGCCCUUACGGGGAAAGAUUUAUCGCCAAAAGAUCGGCCCGCGUCUGAGUAGCUAGUUGGUGGGGUAAUGGCCCACCAAGGCUACGAUCAGUAGCUGGUCUGAGAGGAUGAUCAGCCACAUUGGGAAUGAGACACGGCCCAAACGUCUACGGGAGGCAGCAGUGGGGAAUAUUGGACAAUGGGGGCAAGCCUGAUCCAGCCAUGCCGCGUGAGUGAUGAAGGCCUUAGGGUUGUAAAGCUCUUUUAGCAGGGAAGAUAAUGACGGUACCUGCAGAAAAAGCCCCGGCUAACUUCGUGCCAGCCGCCGCAGUAACAC